rnacentral:lncRNA from 10 species
GAAAUUGUCCCAGUUGUCUCAUAGAACUAACGUGUAUGGUUUCUUUGGGAUAAACAUAGAAAUUGAUGCUCCAGUCUUAAAACUCAAGAAAGUUAUGUUUGUCUUAUCUGAGUUCCUUUCUCAGGAAAACAACCAUCAGGCCUUCCAGAUAGUAUCAAGGAGCUGAAACUUAGCAGAUCACUGCAUCUUGACAAUGAAACAUAAGACCCCCUCACCCAUCAUGAUUGCGUAACCAACCACCUGCUUCCUGUUGACCAACUUCUCUUUCUUGCCCCUCCCUAGUUUCUAUUUUCCUAUACAUGGGUACAUUUCUUUCCUACUAUAUAAACCCCUAAUUUUGGUUGCUUGGGGAGAUGGAUUUGAAACUUAUCUGUCAUCUCCUUGGCUGUAGCACCUGAUUAAAGCCUUCUCUGGCUAUCUUCACUGUCUCAGUGACCGGCUUUCUGCGCUGCAAGCAGCAGAACCUAGAAUAAACCCCUGGCAUUUAGGUAACAGAUUUUAGUUCCCUGACCAGUAACACAUUGCUUGUGGGUUUGUUUCCACAGGCUGAAAAAGUUUUGGAAGCCCUCCUAAGCAGGUGCCAGACCCUUUUUUGGCCAGAGACAGGAUCUUACGCUGUUGCCCAGGCUGGAGUGCAAUAGUGUCAUCAUGGCUCACUGUAGCCUGGAACUGCUGGGCUCAAGGGAUCCUCCCAGCUCAGCCUCCCAAGUAGCUAGGAGUAAAGGUACAUGCCAUCAUGCCUAGCUUUUUUUUUUUUUAAUUUUUGGAGAGAUAAGUUCCCAUCAUGUUGCCCAGGCUGGUCUCUAACUCUUGGACUCAAGUGGUCCUCCCACAUCAGCCUCUCAAAGUGCUGAGAUUGCAGGUGUUAGCCACUGCACUUGGCCUGGCCCCAGUAUUCUUUGGGAUCUGGAGUUUGCUGUUGAAUGAGAAGGCAAGAUGAAAUUCCAUGUAGUCAGACUCCUACGCUGCUGUUCUAAGCAGGGUUGGGCCUGAUUAGUAGGUUAUAGAUGAUGUUUUUCUGUGGUGCUAUCUGGACCUAGUGCUCUUUGGCAUCUGGGAAGGUAUGGCCUUUAAAAAGCAAACUGCCAUGAGAACUGCUCUACCCCAAAUUUUGGUUCACAGCCUUCAUUUGAUUAUGUAUUGGGGCAAAAAUAGUUUAGCCAUGUGAACCUGUUUGUAAACUGGUGAGUUUCUAUUGCUAUUUCAUAGCUAAAGUUUUGAGGUAAAUGCUAUUGGAUCUUUGUGUCUGUGUGUGUAUACAUAUUUAGAUGUGUUUAUGUGUAUGUACAUUUAUUAUAUGUUGUGUCUACCAACUUUGCUUAUAAGCAAAAGAAUGCUUGUAAAUUAAGUAAAUAAGUUCAAGAAUUUUUUAAAUUCACUUGAUUAAGUAAAUUGUUAAUUUUAAAAACUAGCUUUAAAAUUAUUGGUAAGGUAAAAAUAGAAAUGUCUUUGGAAUUGCCAGCAUACCUUUUUGUCUGGGUUUUAUAUUUGUCUCUGCUAGAUAUUUUGGGGUGUCGGGGUUUAGCAUAAAAGGUUAUAAAACAAUAUACCCAGCCAAAACUAAAUAGUCUUUGUUUGUGUGACUUUUUUCAAUAAGUAAGACUAAUUCAAUGUUAGUUUAAUGAAAAUAGCUGAAUUUUCUGAAUUAUUGACACAAUACCCAUGUAUUUAACUUUAAAAGUGUUCUUACUUAGGUGAACAUCUGAUCUUCGCAGGCUAUAAAAAAGGUUAACAAGGAAAUAACUUGAAAUGAUGAUUAGCUUUGUCUAAUAUUUCAGUUUUCAGAAGUAAUCUAGAUAAAUCGUUUGAAAAAAUGAAAGAAUCAUGUACAUGUAAAUGGGAUAAAUGCUUGUAGCUGCACUUUUUAAUGUAAUUUGAAAUCUUGAAGUUAUUUAGGAUUGAAUAAUAGAUGCUUUUUGGCCAUCUGGGUCACUUCCAAUUAAGAAAGGAUUAUGGGGCCGGAUGUGGUGGCUCAGGCCUGUAAUCUCAGCACUUUGGGAGGCCAAGGCAGGCAGAUCACCUGAGAUCCGGAGUUCAAGACCAGCCUGGCCAACAUGGUGAAACCCCAUCUCUGCUAAAAAUACAAAAAUUAGCUGGGCACGGUGGCAGGCACCUGUAAUCCCAGUUUCUUGGAAGGCUGAGGCAGGAAAAUCACUUGAACCCAGGAGGCGGAGGUUGCAGUGAGCCAAGACCAUGCCAUUGCAUUCCAGCCUGAGUGACAAGAGCAAAACUCCGUCAAAAAAAAAGAAAAGAAAAAAAGAAAAGAAAGAAAGAAGGGGGGGGAGGGAGGGAGGGACAAAGAAAGAAAGAAAGAAAGAAAGAAAGAAAGAAAGAAAGGAAGGAAGGAAGGAAGGAAAAGAAAGAAAGAGAAAGGAGAGAAAGAAAGGGUUAUGACGUUGGGAAGCAUGUUUUUUAAAAUUGUGGAAUGUUCUCAUCUCUGAAAUGUUAAUAUCUGACAGCUAGUUCAGAAUGUCUUACUUCCUAGGUUUUCACUAAAAUUUAAAGUUACUAAGAAUCAGAAUGGCAAUUAAUAUAUUAUUCUGUAUAUAAAAUGUGUGAGAGAAGAUGUGUUUUUACAGAGAAAAACAAAUUAUUUUGUCUAAUUCAUAAGUUAUGUAAAGGUUGAUACAAAUUAUGGACCAUGGUAAACUUUUGUCCUAAAAUAAAAUAAUUGGUCAUUUUAAAAAAAAAAAAAACAAAGAAAGAAAGAAAAUCUAGGACAAAAACGAAGUCCAAGCAUGUUGAAUGGUUUGUGUAAAUAAGUAGUAAAAUACUCUUUAAAAUCUGAUAGAAAAUUGGAGACAUUUGGCUAAUUAACAUUGCUCAUAGCUAAAGAUCUUAGUAUUGAUGAAGGUAAAUUAAGAAAUACUGUAAAGAAAUAUAUUGGCAGCUUGGCAAUUCUUUUCUUUUUUUUUUUUUAACAUACUUAAGCAUGAAUCCAGAUUUAGCAUGGAGCCAAAUUUUACAUACAGGCUUGCAUUGCUUUGUUUCACACUGUAUUUGCUAUUCUGCAUAGACAGUACUAGCACUAAAGUACUUACUGGUCACGUGCUUGAAGUAAAUUUCUUAAUUGCACAGAAGGUAUAGUGAUGUUGCUGGACUUAGAGACAUUAAUUUGUAUAAUAGGAACAAAAUAUCCAACAUAUGUUUGUUUUAGGCUCUGGAUUAUACUGUAACCUUCAAAGUAAACUGAGUAGGUGAAAAAUUGGGGGUUGGUUUCCAGUUUGUUUUUGCUUUUAAUUUUUAAUUAUUUGCUAUUUGUUCUCCUUUGGGUUUUACUGGUAUAUACACAUAUAAAAAACCAUUGAUAGUUUUAGUUUUUAAUGGAAGGCUUGUAUUUUCUUCUAUGAAUAGUCAUUUUGUUUCCUAUGCAUUUCCAACAAUUCAUUAUUUGCUCUAUUUAUCUAAAGUUCUUAAGCUAUCUUUGUCAGGCCUGCAAAAAUGGAUAGGGGACACCAGCCAUUAAAAAUUUGAUUGGUUUUGCUGACUCUGAUGAUCUAGAGAGCUACAAGAGCUUUAAGCUAUGGGUCAAAAAAGAACCCCUAAAAAACAAAAAACCUUGUUUCUUUAAAUAAGUUCUGAGCAGAAAUAGUAGAUUACUUAUUUAUCUGGAAAAGCAGGUAAGAGAAGAAAUGUUUAGACAGUUUUUUUCCCUAAGGAAAUUCAAUUCAAUCAAUAAUUUGAAUCGGUUUCAGAUCUUUUUCUUUAGGUAAUGAGGAAAAAUUGUGAUAGGGGUACAAAGUUUUAAUGUUCAGGAAAGACUAGCUUUGUCCUUAAAAGAAAUUAUAUUGACUGGGAUUUCUCUCAGACUAUGUUAGUUGUAUUUACCACUAUCAAAACUAAGUGACAUUCACUUGGAUUAAGUAGUAGUAAAAAUGUCAGGCUUUCUAGUGAUUCUUUUUUAUUCCAAAUCUGUUAUCACUAUUAGGCCUUAAUGUGUGUACUUGAAAACAAAAUAUAUUCUAGUAUUAUUCUGUUUUGAAGAUUCUGGAGUUGAAAUCUACCUAAUAGUUGUCAGUACCGUAUCUAGAAACCAGUCUUGGAAAUGUAUGAUGAUGCUCUUUUAAAAUAGCAGAAAAAAAUAUUCUGUGCUUGUUUUUACUUUGUCCCUGUUUCACUGUAUAGUAUUUAAGCAAAAAGAGAUUAUUUAUCUUCAUAUUGAAUUUCCAAAACCGAUAUUUGCAUUUACCAUUUUCUUAAAUGAUGGAGAAUAAAGUUAAUUGUCUUACUUGGAUAAGUUUGGCAUUGGACCUAUCACAUUUUUGAUGCUUUGGGUCACAGUUCUGUCACUACAAUGUUAGAAAUUAGAUAUAUGCAAGGAAUAAUCUAGCCACUUUAAUACAGUGAUUUAAAGUGCUGCAGGCAUUAACUACUAGACACCAAUUCACAGUGCUUUAAUUUGUGACAUGUGAGGGAGAAUGACAGGACUUUCUAUAAUAUAAAUGUCCUAUUAACUAGUCCUUGUACUGUUAAGUUAGGACUUUGACUCUUGGGUCUAAAAAAGGCACAGACUCAUGCCAAAUCUUGAACAUUGACAGUAGUCAAAGCCUUGUUUUCAGACCCAGGAGAAGGUGACAAUCAAAAUGAACAACUUGCCCGAGACACAGGGCUAGAAAUUGAAACUAUUCAAUCCCUGUAGGCCCAGGAACUAUUGUGGAAGAUGUGGGCGCAUGUGAGAUUUUAAGGGCUAAUUUUAAGGGACAAAUUAGUUCAAGGUUUUCUAUAAAUUAAAUGUUAAUAUCAAAAGCACACUGAUGCAAUACCAGUAUCUGGGCCAUUGUGAUGGAAUAACACAGUUUUCUUAGAGCAAUGAUUUUAUCUUUAAUAAAAAACAUUGUAAAAGGUUAUAAAAGACUUCUUACCUUAUGAUCAAACUGAUUCAAAUUAGAUUUGUUUAUAAGGUUUUGUUAAAAUUAGCUUUAACAUUAAUGCAUGAGAUUCCUAAAAUUCUGAUGUCUUAAUAUACGUUAUCAGUAAUAAUUACGAUUAUGUUAAAUUUUUGUAUGUCACAGAAAUAACCAAAUUUUCUUGUCAAUUGUGUCUGUUGAGACUUUUCUCAUCCAUAAUUAUUUUGCUUCAAUUGUUUUUAAAAACAGGCUUAUCAUCAGCUACAGUCUGGAACUUGCUUCUUUUGGGGAAUUCAUUAAAAGAAUCCUUGAAUGCAGGUUUCUGAUAACUUUGGAGAUUUUGCCAUUGGGCUAGAGAGAAAACUUCCAGGAUAUUAAUUGAAAAGCUGAUGUGUUCUUAAAGAUUACUAACCCAAUAUGAAGCAGAGUGGGAGUUGAUUGCAUGGACUGAGCUAAUGGAGGACAGAAAUAAUUUUUAUGGUUUUUUUUUUUUUUUUUUUUUGGUUCUUUGAAACAUUGCUGAUUCUUUUUGUUUUGUUUUUCAGAGUCUGGAGAACACUUUUUCUUUUGAGCUGUUUACAACCUUUAGCAAUUGAGUAGAGUGUACUCUUGUCAAUAGAAUUUGAAGCACAUUUCUCUCUCUGCCUGAUUUCUGUAGAAUUUGUAAACUAUUUGUGAAUAUUCUUAAUUUAUGGCAAUAUGGUUGCUUACAUAAGUUCAAUAAUAAUCUGUUUUCUUUUACAAUGAGACACAGUUGGAGGAACUGGUUAUUUUCCCAGGGCUUUGACUGAAAUGGCCUUGUGAAUGGUUCCAGGAAAGCCAAUUUUGGAGACCCUAUGUGGAUGAUGAUGCUUGCUGUACUUUCUGUGGGUAAUCGGGCCAAGUAUAUGGGACUGAAGCUAAUUUUGCAGGUAGGUUGGUCCUGCUAUGAUUUGUCUUUGGUGGAAGUGGGAGACUAGAGAGAGAAAGAUUGUGUCAUAGAAGGAGACUGCAGUAUUAGAUUAACAUUUGAUUCAUCACCCUUAGUAUGGAGCUGCUUGUAAUGCCCCUCCUCAGCAUGAAGCAGCCAGAAAGAUCAAUGACCAAAUUUCCCAUGAUCGAGGAACUGAAAAUAGAAAGGGGAGACUGAAACUGGUCCAAGUUUUCUACAGAACUAAUGUCUAUUAUUUCUAUUGAAUAAACAUACAAAUUGAUCCCCCCAGUCUUGAAACUCAAGAAAGUUACAUUUGUCUUAUCUCAGUUUCUUUCUCAGGAAACCAACCAUCACACCUCCCAGACAGUAUCAAGGAGGUGAAACUUACCAGAUCACUGCAUCUGGACAAAGAGAUGCCAGACCCCUCACCCAUGAGGAUUGCCUAACUUUCCACCUACUUCCUGUCAACCAACUUCUCUUCCUUACCCCUCCCUAAUUCCUGUUUUCUUAUACAUGGUUACAUUUCUUCCCUGCUAUGUAAACCCCUAAUUUUAGCUAAUUUGAAAGACAAAUUUGAGACUGAUCUCCUAACUCCUCAGCUGCAGCAUCCAAUUAAAGCCUUCUUCCAUGGCAAUACUCAUUGUCUCUUUGAUUGGCAUUCUGUGCUGUGAGCAGCAGGGCCUAGACCAAAUCCCUAGCAUUUUGGUGACAAUAAGUUGGGAUCAUAUGACUGAAUUUGGGACAAUGCAAUGUGGGUGGAAAUUAUGUAAGCCAUUCUAGGCAUGGUCCUUAAAUCCUGACCCUGCGGCUCUCUUUUCCCUUUCAAGGCAACAUAGAGAGACUUGAGUUCCAGGGGGAAAGUUUUAGGAUGGAGAGAAGCCCUCACUGGACUGUGAUGUGGGUGAGAAAUCUGUGUUAAGUCCCUGAGAUAUAGGUGUUUAUUACUACCCCAGCAUAGCUUAGCUGAUUUAAGAGGAGUUAAGAAGCUUCCCUUGCCUUUAAAAGUAUGCUAUAGGUAAGUCCAGGAAUACAAAAGCACUUCCAGAAAGCUCCAGGGAGCUACAGUUUGGGAGAUGGAAGGUCCAGCAGACUAGAGCCAAAAGUAAUACAGUUCUAGCAAUUAAGCCUUUCACUUUGUGCACACAGCUGGCACAUAAACUAGUCCCAGAGCACCUGAGCAAGGAUUAUUUCUAGCAACUUUCACAUUACCAACUCAGAAACAAUUCAAUUCUUUGUCUCCCUUGUGAUGCUCCUUCUGGUAGGUUUUGACUCUCUUUUCCUCCAACAAUAUUAAGUCUGCUCCCCUGUAUCUGACUUUGAGGGGAGGUCACCACUGGUGAAACCAAUGUGUCUUGAAUUAUACUCUUCUAUGGAAGGCCCCACUUAGUAAUUCUGAAAGAUUCAUUAUUCCCACCUAUAAUCUAAAUUACCUGAUGACUUAUCUUGCUAGAAUCAUCAUUUUAAUCUCUAGGUGAAUGUCCAAGAUAUAUAUUAUUAUUAAUAUCUUGACUGCCAUAGUUACUGUAAGACUGCCUGAGAAAACUGUGAUCUCCUUAAAAACAGGGACCACAUUUUGCAUCUUCAUCAUCUCUUUGUGUCCAGCACCAAGCGUGAUGCUUGGUGCGAAGUGAUGUAUGCUUCAUAAAGGCAGGACCAAGGUCUUCACCUCCACCCUACUACACCCAACAGUUCUUUUCUGCUUUUCACUGUGCUUGUGGUGGUGGUUUGACUGGAGUUGGAGGCUGUGUUUUGCCAUAUGUAUCUGCCAAUAUUUCUCUUCAGAGAACUUUUACCUAGGAUGACCUCUUCAAGGUGGCACAAGAGAAUGCCUGAGGGACAUGUCUCUCAACCCCAUGUCCAUUAAUUGUAACAAAAUAGUUGCCUCAUGGCUGGAACACUCCUUUAUCCCUACUGGCAGCACCCAAUAGCUCUGCUGGGCCAGUAGGGUGAAGUCAUAAUUGGAGCACACUUUGCUUAUAGAGAUUAGUUACAAAUGCCAAGUUCAAGGGAGACUGGCCACUGCACCCAAAAUAAACCUGGGAAGCAGCCCUUCUUAUAAUUUUCUCUCAACUGAGGGAGAUAUUCCAAGAAAAAGAAUUCUGGGGACUCAGAUACAGAGAGGCACAGAAUCAUAGAUAUUCAAAGAUGAAAGGGCCUUAAGAUCAUUUUCCAAUCUCCUUACUUUACAGGUGAGAAAAUGGAGGUCCAGAGAGAAAAGUGACUCACCCAAGCUGAAAACAGUUGCAGGAAGAAAAGCCAGGACAGAACUGGGCUGUUAGAAACCUUGGAGUACACUAAAGAUGAGGAACUGAGUCACCGCAAUGCCAAAUGUAACACGCUGUGGGUCAAAAUUUGGAUGGUUGCGUUGGAAAUUAUUCUGAAGCCACAGACAGGGCUAAAAGGUAAGUAUGAAUAAUUAGUAAUGCUUGCCAUAGACAGAUUAAAGUGUUGACAUCACAUAGGACAAGAAUUUGCCACCAAUAGAUGAGAGGAUUGUUGAUGUCCUUGAAUUGGAAAUGAACGAGCUAAUUGGUUAGUUACUUAUUCACUCUAACCCAGAAAGCAGCAGCUUGUGAAAAAAGUUUUUGCUGGUAACACACAGGAAAUAGAAAAUUUAGUAUUUUUUCCAGUGGAAAAGCCCUCUUGUAUCACCAAGCAGAAGAGAACAUGAUGUCUUUUCUUUUGAUGUAAUUUAGGAUGAUUCACAAAGUGUUCAUAGCAGGGAAGCUGAUGGAAAAGUGACAUGCCCCUAGACUUGAGAGAUGCUCUCUAAGUUUAAAAAGGAAACAGCUUAUUGUAAAAUUUAUUUGAAUCCUACAACCUUCCCAUAUCUGUGUAAUUAGCAAAAAGACAAGCUGCAACCAGAGAGGUAAAGUAUCAAUUUAUCUCAUACUUAUUUAUUGAGAACAUCCUCUGAGCUGUGUACUAUGUUAGGCAGAGAAAACAAACAAUAAGCAAGACACAGUCCCUGACUCCAUAUGAUUAUCAGGGAGGCUAGGAAAAGUCAUCUCUGCUUGGACAACUCCUUUCCAGAAAUACCUCUCUUCUCUUAAAGGGACAUGCACAUGUACAUAUUAUAAUAAAUGAAUCGAGGAAAUAUAUAAUAUUUAUAUAUAAUAUAUAAAUAUA